AGAUAAGGGAAAAAACGCAGGCUGCCCUAGUCAGCAGUGGUAACCCGCUCGGGUCCCCUUCCACAUCGUGGCAGCUUUGUUCUUUCACUCUGCAAUAAAUCUUGCUGCUUCUCACCCGUGGGGCCCAGGUUGCCUUUGUGAGCUGUAACACUCACCGGGAAGGUUUGCAGCUUCACUCCUGAAGCCAACGAUACCACGAAGCCACCAGAAGGAAAAAGCUCCAGACACAUGUGAACGUCUGAAGGAACAAACUGCGGACACACCAUCUUUAAGAACUGUAACACGGCGAGGGUCCCCUGCUUCAUUCUCUGGAGACCAAACUUGAAGAGAGGUAAAGGAGCAGAUACACGUGAGGAAACAGAGCAAGCCAGGCUACUGGGAUGUUCCUACUGGUGUUUUCUGGUUUAAUAUGCCAGCAUCAGAGGGGCCGCUGAAUUAAGUUUCCAUCCAGCUCAGCUGAAUCUAUGGCAGCGUUUUUCAAUGUGGGGUCCUUCCAAGAUCUCUGGACUUCAGAAUCACUGGCAGAACUGUGAAAAUGCAAAUUCCUGAACCCACCACCUACCUACUCAGUCAACACCUCCGAGAGUGGGCCCUGACUAUUUGCUUUUCUCACAAGCUCCCCAAGUGGUUCUAAGCAUUCUUGGUAUUUCAUAUAUCUUUCAUGUGUUUGUUUGUCCAUUCAUUAAACAUUUUUUCAAUACGU